rnacentral:antisense_RNA from 1 species
CUUGACCGAGCCGAGCCGGAGCGGGCUGUCGUCCGGCCGGUUCUGGCCGUAGGUGGCGAGGAGGGCCUGGGCCUC